rnacentral:rRNA from 1 species
AGUCAGAUGUGAAAUCCCAGGGCUCAACCUUGGAACUGCAUUUGAAACUGGUUAACUAGAGUUUUGUAGAGGGUGGUAGAAUUUCAGGUGUAGCGGUGAAAUGCGUAGAGAUCUGAAGGAAUACCAGUGGCGAAGGCGGCCACCUGGACAAAGACUGACACUGAGGCGCGAAGGCGUGGGGAGCAAACGGGAUUAGAUACCCCGGUAGUCCACGCAGUAAACGAUGUCUAUUAGAAUUUUGUGGCUAUAUGCCGUGGGAUUCAAAGCUAACGCAUUAAAUAGACCGCCUGGGGAGUACGGCCGCAAGGUUAAAACUCAAAUGAAUUGACGGGGGCCCGCACAAGCGGUGGAGCAUGUGGUUUAAUUCGAUGCAACGCGAAGAACCUUACCAUCCCUUGACAUCCAGAGAAUCUGUUAGAGAUAGUAGAGUGCCUUCGGGAACUCUGAGACAGGUGCUGCAUGGCUGUCGUCAGCUCGUGUUGUGAAAUGUUGGGUUAAGUCCCGCAACGAGCGCAACCCUUAUCCUUAUUUGCCAGCGGGUUAUGCCGGGAACUCUAGGGACACUGCCGGUGAUAAACCGGAGGAAGGUGGGGACGACGUCAAGUCAUCAUGGCCCUUACGGGAUGGGCUACACACGUGCUACAAUGGCAAAUACAAAGGGC